rnacentral:rRNA from 1 species
GACGAACGCUGGCGGCGUGCUUAACACAUGCAAGUCGAACGAAGUGGCGAACGGGUGAGUAACGCGUAAUCAACCUGCCCUUCAGAGGGAUACAACAGUUGGACACGACUGCUUAUACCACAUACGGCAGAAGGGGUUUGCGUCUGAUUAGCGAGUUGGCGGGGUAACGGCCCACCAAGGCGAUGAUCAGUAGCCGGUCUGAGAGGAUGAACGGCAACAUUGGGACUGAGACACGGCCCAGACUCCUACGGGAGGCAGCAGUGGGGAAUCUUCCGCAAUGGACGAAAGUCUGACGGAGCAACGCCGCGUGAGUGAUGACGGCCUUCGGGUUGUAAAGCUCUGUUAAUCGGGACGCGGUACCGGAAGAGAAAGCCACGGCUAACUACGUGCCAGCCGCCGCGGUAAUUC